AAUAGAUACCCCAGGUAGUCCACGCCGUAAACGAUGAGUGCUAAGUGUUAGAGGGUUUCCGCCCUUUAGUGCUGCAGCAAACGCAUUUAAGCACUCCGCCUGGGGGAGUACGGUCGCAAGACUGAAACUCAAAGGAAUUGACGGGGGCCCGCACAAGCGGUGGAGCAUGUGGUUUAAUUCGAAGCAACGCGAAGAACCUUACCAGGUCUUGACAUCCUCUGACAACCCUAGAGAUAGGGCUUCCCCUUCGGGGGCAGAGUGACAGGUGGUGCAUGGUUGUCGUCAGCUCGUGUCGUGAGAUGUUGGGUUAAGUCCCGCAACGAGCGCAACCCUUGAUCUUAGUUGCCAGCAUUCAGUUGGGCACUCUAAGGUGACUGCCGGUGACAAACCGGAGGAAGGUGGGGAUGACGGUCAAAUCGAUCAUGCCCCUUAUGACCUGGGCUACACACGUGCUACAAUGGGCAGAACAAAGGGCAGCGAAGCCGCGAGGCUAAGCCAAUCCCACAAAGUCUGUUACUCGAGUUCGGAUCGC
rnacentral:rRNA from 1 species